rnacentral:rRNA from 1 species
AUGUACAUUCCUAUAGCAUAGCAUUAAUUCACCGGACCCCAUUAUAACUCCGCAGUUAAGCACGCUCAAGCUAGAGUAGUACUGGGAUGGGUGACUGCUCGGGAAGUCCUAGUGUUUUACAUG